rnacentral:rRNA from 1 species
AUUGAACGCUGGCGGCAGGCCUAACACAUGCAAGUCGAACGAGUGGCGGACGGGUGAGUAAUGUCUGGGAAACUGCCCGCUGGAGGGGGCUAACUACUGGAAACGGUAGCUAAUACCGCAUACCAUCGGAUGUGCCCAGAUGGGAUUAGCUAGUCGGUGGGGUAACGGCUCACCUAGGCGACGAUCCCGAGCUGGUCUGAGAGGAUGACCAGCCACACUGGAACUGAGACACGGUCCAGACUCAUACGGGAGGCAGCAGUGGGGAAUAGUGCACAAUGGGCGCAAGCCUGAUGCAGCCAUGCCGCGUGUAUGAAGAAGGCAUUCGGGUUGUAAAGUACUUUCAGCGGGGAGGCGUUACCCGAAGAAGAAGCACCGGCUAACUCCGUGCCAGGAGCCGAGGUAAUAC